rnacentral:rRNA from 1 species
GCCAGUCUGCAUGGAGCCGACCUUGAAAUACCACCCUUUAAUGUUUGAUGUUCUAACGUGGACCCGUAAUCCGGGUUGCGGACAGUGUCUGGUGGGUAGUUUGACUGGGGCGGUCUCCUCCUAAAGAGUAACGGAGGAGCACGAAGGUUGGCUAAUCCUGGUCGGACAUCAGGAGGUUAGUGCAAUGGCAUAAGCCAGCUUGACUGCGAGCGUGACGGCGCGAGCAGGUGCGAAAGCAGGUCAUAGUGAUCCGGUGGUUCUGAAUGGAAGGGCCAUCGCUCAACGGAUAAAAGGUACUCCGGGGAUAACAGGCUGAUACCGCCCAAGAGUUCAUAUCGACGGCGGUGUUUGGCACCUCGAUGUCGGCUCAUCACAUCCUGGGGCUGAAGUAGGUCCCAAGGGUAUGGCUGUUCGCCAUUUAAAGUGGUACGCGAGCUGGGUUUAGAACGUCGUGAGACAGUUCGGUCCCUAUCUGCCGUGGGCGCUGGAGAACUGAGGGGGGCUGCUCCUAGUACGAGAGGACCGGAGUGGACGCAUCACUGGUGUUCGGGUUGUCAUGCCAAUGGCACUGCCCGGUAGCUAAAUGCGGAAGAGAUAAGUGCUGAAAGCAUCUAAGCACGAAACUUGCCCCGAGAUGAGUUCUCCCUGAGACUUAGAGUCUCCUGAAGGAACGUUGAAGACGACGACGUUGAUAGGCCGGGUGUGUAAGCGCAGCGAUGCGUUGAGCUAACCGGUACUAAUGAACCGUGAGGCUUAACCUU